rnacentral:lncRNA from 1 species
GAAGAGGUGCCUCUUCUUCUCCUGUUCCCAUCCUGCAAGGGAAACAGACACGCGCAUUUGGUAAAGUAAGCGUCUGUAAAGCAAGCAGCUGGGCAUUGACUUAACCAUAAGGUAAAACAAAGUUCCCCAAUGAGUCUAGUGACAGCUGCGCACAUGAAAACAAAUCCCAUUGUUGGGAUGAAAUUAUCAGCUAAAAGGAGCUGUUGGAAGCCAGCGUGCCUGGUCAACCAGGGUCUGCCCAUGAACUGCUGUGGGCCGGAUGGACCCAGUGGCACCGGACAGGCCCUAGGGUGGAGGUGAAGCUGGGGCAGUUUUGCCCUGAGAUAGGAGGCCGAUCGCCUGUUACUGAAAACCAGGGAUGCAGUUUUAGGUGAGUGAAUUUCUUAACUGGGGGAAGCAAAGCUCCUUGUAACAUAUACCAGGCACCAGCGGAACCAAAAGUGCUCGGGCCACAGUGCCUCACCCAGGGGUGGGAAAGUCCUUGGCAGCUUGGUUUCAGGCAGGAAACUGCGUGUUAAGGGCUGCCUUGUCUGAGGUACGCUGACCACAGGGCAUCCCGUGUGAGGCUGGAGGGGCAUGUGGACCUAGUGACUCAGUGGGUACAGCCUCUGCCUUUCCUGCUGCCGGCCCAGGCCCCAGCCACAGCAGUUCUUUCCCGGUGAUCCCCAGCCAUUCUCAACACACCUGCAGGAGCACAGCCGUCAGAGCCGAAACACUCCACUCAGGCCAAGUGAGAAGCAUGCAGACGUUUGUAGAACAGUAGACAGACAGCUUUGUCAUGUACAAAAAAGUUUAAAUGUAACUUGAAUUUUUAUUUAAAUUAAGUUAUCGGAAGAAUUUUUGAUUAGUGAAGUGGUUCUUUCAAAAACUUAUUCUCCACCCAAAGAGAGAAAGAGAGAUUUUUUUCCUCUGCCCUUUUCCUUAUGAUUUCCCACAUGUGCUAUAAUAAGUGGUUGCUUUUGGAUGAGUUUUAGCAUCUCAGAGACUCUUCAGACUCUGGUUUCGAGUGGACACAAGUAUCUGAAAAUUGAAAUUAUUGUGAAUUCAGCUACAAAUGAACACUAUUUCACUUGAUAUUAAAAUUUAACCAUAUUAUUUUUAUAAAAUAAAUGGCAAUAAAAUGCUUUAUUCUGAAUAUAAAUCAUGUACCAAUGUCUCUGAUUUUAACCAGAAUAAACACCCCUGUUUCAAAUUCUGAUAAGCAGGUAAUUUAUUUAAGAUCACGUUGAAAUGACCCUAGAAGUGAAGGGCAUUUGAGUUUCCAGCUUUCCCACUUUAUCUAAAAGGGGAAAAACGGUGUCUGGCACUCAGCUUUUCGAAUGUGCAAAACUGAUAAACUAGUCUGUUAGGGAAAAAAAAAAAGACAAUGAAGAAAUAAAAGUGGAAAUUAGCAGAAACCAGUAUUAGGCAUAUGUCUUUAUGAA